UAGGGAGACCUAAUCCAUUUAGAUAUCGAAAGCGAUUAGUAAAUAGAUACUAAAGUGGUCUACUCUAGGUCGGUCGCAGACUUGAGGUAAGUCUUUCAAACUAUGAUUGGGUUCAUUUAAUCAUACAAUGAUAAUACAGCAGAAUGCUGGAUGAGAGUCCAGUCAGAACCUUGAAAACUGCAUAGUAACGCGAGGCAGUUCAGUAAUCUGAUGUGAAAGCAGCAGACAAACUGAAAGCAAAAAAGCCAAUGAAUUGAUGU
rnacentral:misc_RNA from 1 species